UGGCGUUUGGCACCUGACGCAGGGCGAUGACAUUUGCGAUAACGGCGAGGCUGAAAUUUUAGCCGGGCCGUUGACACCGCCA
rnacentral:sRNA from 1 species